rnacentral:rRNA from 1 species
UACGAAGGGGGCUAGCGUUGUUCGGAAUCACUGGGCGUAAAGGGCGCGUAGGCGGCCGAUCAAGUCGGGGGUGAAAGCCUGUGGCUCAACCACAGAAUUGCCUUCGAUACUGUUUGGCUUGAGACCGGAAGAGGUAAGUGGAACUGCGAGUGUAGAGGUGAAAUUCGUAGAUAUUCGCAAGAACACCAGUGGCGAAGGCGGCUUACUGGUCCGGUUCUGACGCUGAGGCGCGAAAGUGUGGGGAGCAAACAGG